rnacentral:rRNA from 1 species
UACAGAGGUCCCAAGCGUUGUUCGGAUUCAUUGGGCGUAAAGGGUGCGUAGGUGGCGCCGUAAGUCGGGUGUGAAAUUUCGGAGCUUAACUCCGAAACUGCAUUCGAUACUGCGGUGCUUGAGGACUGGAGAGGAGACUGGAAUUCAUGGUGUAGCAGUGAAAUGCGUAGAGAUCAUGAGGAAGACCAGUGGCGAAGGCGGGUCUCUGGACCGGAACUGACGCUGAGGCGCGAAAGCGUGGGGAGCAAACAGG